rnacentral:rRNA from 1 species
UCUAGAAUAUGCGCGAGUCAAAGGGCUGGCUAAACCCUAAGGCGAAACGAAAGUGAUCGGAUGCGCGACGUGUGUGCUUCGGGCGACCACUGACUAUAUCCAUGGACCGAUCCGGUUGCGGGGCUUCAAACCCCCGCUUAACMUCUUCGGAGGACGGCGCAGGUCCGGGGCUCGCCAUCCUCCUCCCCGCCACCAACGCUCACGUCGGCACCAGCCGCGGUUUAGUCGAGGCUCUCUUCCCUUUUUUUCCGUCCCUCGGGGCGGGUCUUAAGGGAGUCGAGAGUCGAGCGAUCGCGGCGUGUCGGCUCGCGGGCGGGGACGAACGGCGGGUACCUUGAGCGCAUAUUCUAGUA